GCUCCGCCCCGCGCAUCCUCUAAUCGGUGAUCGAUGGCUGCCAUCGAAGAGGUGGAGCAACAAUUGUUGGAAGGAGGAGAAAAUGUUCAUAUAGACGUGCAGCUAAUAGAGAGAGAUGACGAGUUGCAAUGAGUUAUGAUCUGUGGAAGCUGAUUAAUGCCUGCUGCAUUAUGAGCCAUUCAGCAUCCGUUCCAGAUUGUUAUUGUGUACAUGACGUUGGAUUAUGCAGUGAUUACAAUUAUCUACUGCAGAUUCCUUGACGAGGCUGCUAUUCUCUUACACACUGAUAUAAACGUCUCUAUUCAAUGUCUCUGAACAGAGUUGCCUGAGAAGAUCUGAUGAAAUUUCCCUGUUUGGUUCGCAGGAUGACUAGCCGAUCGGCACAUGCUGCAAGACAGCAGAAGUCGGCAUAUGGACCAGGGAACAUGUUUGAAGAACGAGGGGAUGAAGAAAAAGAAGCCAGUAUUGCUUCCAAUUAGUCAAAGGGAUCGUUGUUCUCGAAAAGAACUCCGUGUGUUCGUACACUCGAAACACAAGUAAGAUUGGUUGUUGGCAUUAGAAGGUUUGCAUGGCCGCAAUUUCACACCACCUUUUCCAAUCAAAUCUAGAGGAAAAGGACAUCGCACGUAUGGCAUCAAAGUAUUAUUCUCAGGUAACAACAUGAAGCACUAUUAUUUUGUUAAUAAUCAACAAAAUGAGCUUGAAUCAACUCCUCAGCAGA